CGGAACGGGUGAGUAAUGCGUGACCAACCUGCCCCAUGCUCCAGAAUAGCUCUUGGAAACGGGUGGUAAUGCUGGAUGCUCCAACUUGACGCAUGUCUUGUUGGGAAAGUGUUUAGUGGCAUGGGAUGGGGUCGCGUCCUAUCAGCUUGUAGGCGGGGUAAUGGCCCACCUAGGCUUCGACGGGUAGCCGGCCUGAGAGGGCGGACGGCCACAUUGGGACUGAGAUACGGCCCAGACUCCUACGGAGGCAGCAGUC
rnacentral:rRNA from 1 species